rnacentral:rRNA from 1 species
GAUGAACGCUGGCGGCGUGCCUAAUACAUGCAAGUCGAACGCGCAGCGAAAGGUGCUUGCACCUUUCAAGCGAGUGGCGAACGGGUGAGUAACACGUGGAUAACCUGCCUCAAGGCUGGGGAUAACAUUUGGAAACAGAUGCUAAUACCGAAUAAAACUUAGUAUCGCAUGAUACAAAGUUGAAAGGCGCUACGGCGUCACCUAGAGAUGGGUCCGCGGUGCAUUAGUUAGUUGGUGGGGUAAAGGCCUACCAAGACAAUGAUGCAUAGCCGAGUUGAGAAACGAAUCGGCCACAUUGGGACUGAGACACGGCCCAAACUCCUACGGGAGGCUGCAGUAGGGAAUCUUCCACAAUGGGCGAAAGCCUGAUGGAGCAACGCCGCGGGUGUGAUGAAGGCUUUAGGGUCGUAAAGCACUGUUGUAUGGGAAGAAAUGCUAGAAUAGGGAAUGAUUCUAGUUCGACGGUACCAUACCAGAAAGGGACGGCUAAAUACGUGCCAGCCGCCGCCGUAA